rnacentral:rRNA from 1 species
UACAGAGGAUGCAAGCGUUAUCCGGAAUGAUUGGGCGUAAAGCGUCUGUAGGUGGCUUUUUAAGUCCGCCGUCAAAUCCCAGGGCUCAACUCUGGACAGGCGGUGGAAACUACCAAGCUGGAGUACGGUAGGGGCAGAGGGAAUUUCCGGUGGAGCGGUGAAAUGCGUAGAGAUCGGAAGGAACACCAGUGGCGAAGGCGGCUACCUGGACAGAUACUGACGCUGAGGCGCGAGAGCGUGGGGAGCAAACAGG